GAAAUGUGAUAAGUAAUGUGAAUUGCAGAAUUCAGUGAAUCAUCGAAUCUUUGAACGCACCUUGCGCUCCUUGGUAUUCCUUGGAGCAUGCCUGUUUGAGUAUCAUGAAAUCUUCAAAGUAAAUCUUUUGUUAACUCAAUUGGUUUCUACUUGGUAUUGGAGGUCUUUGCAGCUUCACACCUGCUCCUCUUUGUUCAUUAGCUGGAUCUCAGUGUUAUGCUUGGUUCCACUCGGCGUGAUAAGUUAUCUAUCGCUGAGGACACUGUAAAAGGUGGCCAAGGUAAAUGCAGAUGAACCGCUUCUAAUAGUCCAUUGACUUGGACAAUACUUUUAUGAUCUGAUCUCAAAUCAGGUAGGACUACCCGCUGAACUUAAGC
rnacentral:misc_RNA from 1 species